CACCACACAAAUACACAUGCCACAUAGCUCCUCAGACACCGGAUUAAAGAAGGAAGAGGUUUUUUAUUUGGCCGGGAGCAUGGGCAGACUCGUGUCUUAAGAGCCGAGCUCCCUGAAGAAGAAAUACGUGGCCUUUUUUUUCCGGUGUCUGAGGAGCACUCACACACUCAUACUCACAAGGACAGAUACUAAUCCUGAAACAUUCUCUUCUGAGCCCAUAAGGAAGAAUUCAGAUGGCGGCUGCCUCUUCCUCUUCAGAGUCAUAUCGAGAAGCAAUACACUUUUAGCCUAAAACCCAGGUUUCGGGCUCCAUGGGCAGAGAGGCAAAUACAGUCCGUCACCAAGAUCUCCAACACGACCAGGCCCGGCGCGCCAGGAAGAAGGACGCGCUUCCGGUCUCUAGAAGGGAAAUUUUAAAAAUCUCAAGACUCCCAAACUUCUUAUGCAAAAGGGAAGGUCACUGCAACCCCCUCUUCAAAUGAAUUGCUGUUACUAACUUCCUGCUCCAGCCAGAUCCCCGUGGAAAGGCCACUCAGUGGUGACUCCAGUCUACAGUCUAAGUCCAGCGCCUGAAGCUGAAGUGUGGAUUCCACGCUGACCGUGUCCCCUACACGCUCGUCUUCUGUGUACAGAACACAGACUCCUUCCUCCACCUACCCAGAGACGCCUGUGUAACUGACUCUUCCUUUACUCCCUUUUCCUCUCUGGUCAUUCGCCUUACCUUACGGAACGUGUAAAUUAGGCACUAAGGAACGUCUCACAGGAAUGCAGCCGUCAGCUCUCCUGCCUGCCGGCCCCUCUUCCUACCUGCCCCCGGUCCCGCUUAAGGAAAUGCGUCAACACAAAGCCUCCUGAAAAGCUCUUCAGAAAAACAGCCACAGUUGUGCCGAGUGCCGUGGCUCAUGCCUGUAAUCCCAGCAGUUUGGGAGGCCAAGGUGGGUAGAUCAC